GUAGGUAAGUUGCUUGAGAACCCCUCUGUGCUGUUUGUCUUGUCUUGUUUUGUUUUGUUUCUCUGUGUAGCCCUGGAUGUCCAGGAACUCACUCUGUAGACAAGGCUGGUCUUGAACUCAGAGAACCGAGUGCUGAGAUUAAAGGCAUGUACCACUGACCCCUGACUGAUAUGUGUGCUUGGUAGAUGUCUGUGUUCUUCUUUCAAGUCAGUACUCUUCCGUGUGGAUUGGGUUGCCUUGGACUACCAGUAAUCAAAAUGCCUUCCUUUCUGUCCUCUCCUAGGUCUUGUUCAAGUUUUCCUUUCUGAGUGACUGUGCAUUUGCAGCUGAACAGAAAGAUAGUAGAUUCAUUUAUUUUAUAAUCCUAAGCAAAACACAGUGGUACCCUAAGAAUAUAUUCCACAGCAUGAUACUGUAACUGAGAAUUAUCGUUGGGUUAGAGAAGAGAAAGUGUUCCAGGAAGGAUCCAGAGUAACACUCUUUACCUUGUAUCCCAAGUACUUCCAAGAAGCUGAAAGGGCCUGACAUGACUUUCUUCUCAGCUUUUGUUGGAGUUUUGUUUGUUUGUUUGUUUGUUUGUUUGUUUUUAAACAGGGUCUCAUUAUGUGGCCCUGGCUAUGUAGACUAUACAGGCUUCCCUAUGUUAGUAGCUUUUUAAUGUGUUUCUUGCAGUUUUCUGCUUCACCCAGCUAGCUCCCAAAUUGAGACUGGACUAUAAUAUUUACUUAACAAGCUUCUAAGUUCACAACAACUCCACAUUAAUCCUCUAAACUAAUUUGGCUACCUCGCAGUCAAAAUCCCAGUGAUACUUUCAUUAGUACUGAUGUGGCUCUCUUGGCUCCAGGACUUUUCUCAUGGUGUCUCCUGGACUCUCUUCCAGCUGUGAUUUCCUACUUCCUCUCUCUCCUUCCUCCCUCCCUCCCUGGGCUGAGAGGAAGUCCAGCCCUAUUCUCUCCACUGCUCAGUCAUUGGCUGAUCAGCUCUUUAUUAACCAAUCAGGAAAUUAGGUAGCAAUGUUUACACAACAUUGAGACCAGAGAUUCUCAGAAUAAGGAUUGCAACUAGAUGUGGGGGCAAGGAAAUCAGGAUUUGAAUGAUACAAAGAUAAUCUUUACCCAGUGCACAGAAACAUUAUCCUUACAGCCCUAUUCAGAGAUUUUCCCUUGUCUCUGCCUCCCAAAUGCUAGGAAUAUAAAUCUCAGCUUUCAGCUGAGGGUCCCAAGUAUGAGUUCAGAAAGACUGUAAUAUCUCAUAAUUCGCUGAGCUUCGAAGGGUUUAAGUCCCAUUUCUCUCCUGUCUGAAAAUGAUAGUGUUGAUUCUGGCCUCUCCUAGCAGGCCUGACAGUUCCACCCAUGCCGAGAGCACAUUAAGUGGCCUCUGGAGAAGUCCACCCUCACGGUGUCUUCAAACCUUUGCUAAGGCUCCCUACACACAGUGGCUUGUUUUCACAACUUCACAACUCUCUUAGCCAUAGUUCAAGUUUGUGGGGCUCUUGUUUUAAUUUGGGGGGGUCGUUUCCUUGUUUAGUUUUGAAGUAGAGUUUUCUUUAGUUCUAAAUGGGAAAGCCAAUUUAAAAUAAAUAGUAAUAAGGCUCCAGCUUUGUAGCGGUCAGUGGCUAGCGAAUAUACUAUAUCUUGGAGUAAGAGCAGUUCUACUAUUAAGACUACUUUCUUUGCUAGGUGAUAGUGGUAAGACAUGCCUUUAAUCCUAGCACUUAGGAGGCAAAGGCAGAUGGAUCUCUUCAGUUUGAGGCCAGCUGGUCUACAGAGCCAGCUCCAGGACAGCCAGGGCUACACAGAAAAACCUGUGUAGGGGGGAAGUGAAGGUGUUGGUUGGGAGGACUACUUACUUACAAGGUAUAGCAGGGGGCUGGGCUGUAGCUCUGUUGUAGGACUUGUCUAACAUGCACAAAAUACCACAUAAAUGAGGUAUAAUGACUCCCACCUGAAAUCACAGUACUUUGGAGGUGUGAGCAAGAGGAAAAGAAGGUGAAAGUCAUCCUCUGCUACAUACUGAGUUUGAAGAUAACCUGGGCUACAUAGGAUUCUGUCUCAAAACAAUUAAGAU
rnacentral:lncRNA from 1 species